UGUUGGUUCACUGGGACGACCGACUGCACAAAAGGAGACAUGCGAUACAGGGUGUAUGUGGCCCUAUAUAAACCAUAUGCGCAAACUGGUAGAAACCGAGACAACCAAAACAAAUAAAAAUGCAAGGUGCACUGCAUUUCAACCCAGGACGUGGUGGUUGCAAAGGAACAGCUGCGGUCCAGGUGUAGUGUAUGUGCCAAAAUUAACAAAACAGCAGGUAAAAAGGAGGUCGUUGGGACUCGAACCCACCAUCUCAUGUUAUCACCACGGUGGAGCUAAACAACCUACUAUUGCAUCUGCUCCUAACAAAAUAUGACAGCAACCCUAAAUGA